rnacentral:rRNA from 1 species
AUUAGUGGCGAACGGGUGAGUAACACGUGGGCAAUCUGCCCUUCACUCUGGGACAAGCCCUGGAAACGGGGUCUAAUACCGGAUAACACUCUGUCCCGCAUGGGACGGGGUUAAAAGCUCCGGCGGUGAAGGAUGAGCCCGCGGCCUAUCAGCUUGUUGGUGGGGUAAUGGCCUACCAAGGCGACGACGGGUAGCCGGCCUGAGAGGGCGACCGGCCACACUGGGACUGAGACACGGCCCAGACUCCUACGGGAGGCAGCAGUGGGGAAUAUUGCACAAUGGGCGAAAGCCUGAUGCAGCGACGCCGCGUGAGGGAUGACGGCCUUCGGGUUGUAAACCUCUUUCAGCAGGGAAGAAGCGAAAGUGACGGUACCUGCAGAAGAAGCGCCGGCUAACUACGUGCCAGCAGCCGCGGUAAUACGUAGGGCGCAAGCGUUGUCCGGAAUUAUUGGGCGUAAAGAGCUCGUAGGCGGCUUGUCACGUCGGAUGUGAAAGCCCGGGGCUUAACCCCGGGUCUGCAUUCGAUACGGGCUAGCUAGAGUGUGGUAGGGGAGAUCGGAAUUCCUGGUGUAGCGGUGAAAUGCGCAGAUAUCAGGAGGAACACCGGUGGCGAAGGCGGAUCUCUGGGCCAUUACUGACGCUGAGGAGCGAAAGCGUGGGGAGCGAACAGGAUUAGAUACCCUGGUAGUCCACGCCGUAAACGUUGGGAACUAGGUGUUGGCGACAUUCCACGUCGUCGGUGCCGCAGCUAACGCAUUAAGUUCCCCGCCCUGGGGAGUACGGCGCAAGCUAAACUCAAAGGAAUUGACGGGGGCC